CAGUUUGUUGGUGAGGUAAUGGCCCACCAAGACUAUUACAGGUACGGGCUCUGAGAGGAGUAGCCCGGAGAUGGGUACUGAGACACGGACCUAGGCCCUAUGGGGCGCAGCAGGCGAGAAAACUUUGCAAUGUGCGAAAGCACGACAAGGUUAAUCCGAGUGAUUUGUGCUAAACGAAUCUUUUGUUAGUCCUAGAAACACUAACGAAUAAGGGGUGGGCAAGUUCUGGUGUCAGCCGCCGCGGUAAAACCAGCACCUCAAGUGGUCAGGAUGAUUAUUGGGCCUAAAGCAUCCGUAGCCGGCUCUGUAAGUUUUCGGUUAAAUCUGUACGCUUAACGUACAGGCUGCCGGGAAUACUGCAGAGCUAGGGAGUGGGAGAGGUAGACGGUACUCGGUAGGAAGGGGUAGAAUCCUUUGAUCUAUUGAUGACCACCUGUGGCGAAGGCGGUCUACCAGAACACGUCCGACGGUGAGGGAUGAAAGCUGGGGGAGCAAACCGGAUUAGAUACCCGGGUAGUCCCAGCUGUAAACUAUGCAAACUCAGUGAUGCAUUGACUUGUGGUCAAUGCAGUGCUGCAGGGAAGCCGUUAAGUUUGCCGCCUGGGAAGUACGUACGCAAGUAUGAAACUUAAAGGAAUUGGCGGGGGAGCACCACAAGGGGUGAAGCCUGCGGUUCAAUUGGAGCAACGCCGGAAAUCUUACCCGGAGAGACAGCAGAAUGAAGGUCAAGCUGAAGACUUUACCAGACAAGCUGAGAGGUGGUGCAUGGCCGUCGCCAGCUCGUGCCGUGAGAUGUCCUGUUAAGUCAGGUAACGAGCGAGAUCCCUGCCUCUAGUUGCCACCAUUACUCUCAGGAGUAGUGGGGCGAAUUAGCGGGACCGCCGCAGUUAAUGCGGAGGAAGGAAGGGGCCACGGCAGGUCAGUAUGCCCCGAAACUCUGGGGCCACACGCGGGCUGCAAUGGUAACGACAAUGGGUUUCAAAUCCGAAAGGAUGAGGUAAUCCUCAAACGUUACCACAGUUAUGACUGAGGGCUGCAACUCGCCCUCACGAAUAUGGAAUCCCUAGUAACUGCGUGUCAUUAUCGCGCGGUGAAUACGUCCCUGCUCCUUGCACACACCGCCCGUCGUUUCAUUGAAGUGAGCUCUUAGCGAGGUGACGUCUGAUUGGCGUUAUCGAACUUGGGGUUCGUGACAAGGGAAAAGUCGUAACAAGGUG
rnacentral:rRNA from 1 species